GAUGAACGCUGGCGGCGUGCCUAAUACAUGCAAGUCGAGCGAACAGACGAGUUCCUUGCUCCUCUGACUUUAGCGCCGGUCGGUUGCGUAACACUUGGAUAACUUACCUAUAAGACUGGGUUAUCUUCGGGAAACCGGAUCUAAUACCGGAUAAUAUUUUGAACCGCAUGGUUCAUUAGUGAAAGCCUGUUUUGCUGUCCUUUAUCUUUGGGUCCGCCCCGCAUUAGCUAGUUGGUAUGGUAACGGCUUACCAAGGCAACGAUGCGUAGCCGACCUGAGAGAGUGAUCGGCCACACUGGAACUGGAACACGGGCAAGACUCCUACGGGAGGCAGAAGUAGGAAAUCUUCCGAAAGGGGCGAAAGCUUGACGGAGAAACGCCGCGUGAGGGAUGAAGGUCUUCGGAUCUAAAAACUCUGUUAUUAGGGAAGAACAAAUGUGUAAGUAACUAUGCACGACGUGACGGUACCUAAUCAGAAAGCCACGGCUAACUACGUG
rnacentral:rRNA from 1 species